rnacentral:ncRNA from 1 species
UGACCCACCUUGUUGAGCAAGGUGGCUCCCGUUGACUAGGGCGCAAAACGGCGGGAGUAAAAUCUCGCGAAUUGCUGGAACACCCUAAAGCCAACUUGACCACAACGGAGCUGGUGACAGCAGACGUGACGGUUGGAAAACAAGUUGGAUGCAACAAUGGGCAACCAGCAGCCGAGCAUCUCUGGAAACGGAGAUGAAGGUUCAACGACUAUUGAAACUUCCUACAGCCCUCGGUACACUCAGGAUAACGAACACGGUUUCGUGGGGGAGGGCUAUGGAAGGAGUAAAUCGUAUCCCGCGGCAACGGGGAUACGAGGCGCGAGACAGGGAAGAGAUAAUGAAAAAAGCGAAGUAUCUACAUGAAGAGGGAUAUCGUCACGUUAAAAUCGCCAUGAUGUUGGGGAUUUCCAGGGGAACCUUAAUGAGAUGGAAUAAAGAGCAAGGAGUAUUCCAAACUAGAGCACCUGGAGAGGCUGGUAAGUUAGCAGUAAAAAAUAUCGUUAUAACGAGAACUGUUUUUCUAAUAUCAAAACCCCGAAUCAGGCUUAUCCUUAGGUUAAACCGUAAAUACGAGAUAUUCUCUUCCCUGAUGAUAUAGUCUGAUCUCCGACCGAAAGGCGGAG